CCAACCCAAUGUGACGUUACCAAACUGUUGCCUCGGCGGGAUCUCUGCCCCGGGUGCGUCGCAGCCCCGGACCAAGGCGCCCGCCGGAGGACCAACCUAAAACUCUUAUUGUAUACCCCCUCGCGGGUUUUUUUUAUAAUCUGAGCCUUCUCGGCGCCUCUCGUAGGCGUUUCGAAAAUGAAUCAAAACUUUCAACAACGGAUCUCUUGGUUCUGGCAUCGAUGAAGAACGCAGCGAAAUGCGAUAAGUAAUGUGAAUUGCAGAAUUCAGUGAAUCAUCGAAUCUUUGAACGCACAUUGCGCCCGCCAGUAUUCUGGCGGGCAUGCCUGUCCGAGCGUCAUUUCAACCCUCGAACCCCUCCGGGGGGUCGGCGUUGGGGAUCGGCCCUCCCUUAGCGGGUGGCCGUCUCCGAAAUACAGUGGCGGUCUCGCCGCAGCCUCUCCUGCGCAGUAGUUUGCACACUCGCAUCGGGAGCGCGGCGCGUCCACAGCCGUUAAACACCCAACUUCUGAAAUGUUGACCUCGGAUCAGGUAGGAAUACCCGCUGAACUUAAGCAUAUCAA
rnacentral:rRNA from 1 species